rnacentral:siRNA from 1 species
GGCCGGCUCAACAUUAUUAUUC